UCUUCGAGAAACUCCUCAGGCGAUGGCUGCUCCGAUAUGGAUAUCUGAGGAAAACAAUCUCAAUUGUCUGUACGUCGCCACAAAGGAUUUUUUGGAAAGCCAUACCUUUCGGAAACAUUGUGACGCUCUUAACAUAAAGAUGAUACGUGCUCAUAGAGACCGUAUACUCUAAAAAAUAGAUGGAUCCACUCAAUCCUCGUCCGGAUAUUUAUAAGAUGUGUCUACGUUACACGGUGGAACACAGGCUAGCACCUCAGUGGAACAAAGUCGGAUCGUACCUCGUUGAGGGACAAGAUUUUCUUAGCUCAACGGGAAGUGUCAACGCGAUCAAGUUGAAUAUCGAAUAUUCGCAAUAACAGGGCUAAAUUUCAAGUGGAGACUGUAAAUUUAAAAAUUCCUUUCCUAAGAUUAAAUACCUUGCAACAUGCAAGUAUAGAUUCAGUAUAUAUUCUACCAAGUUUGAAAGAGGGAACCGUGUUGAGCGAAUCGAAAGAAAUUCAGGAAAAGCACUUAUUCAAAAAUUACGAGGAUAUGCGCACAUAUUGGAAAAAUAUGCAUAAUUACAUAUUACCAGAUCACGAAAAAGGACUCUUAUAUUACGAAAUCCAAUUCGAUUACAUCAAGGAAGGAAAACGGUGUUUCUCCGUUCGCUCAUAUCCUGAAACGUGCCUAACAAUAGAACGUCUAAAUAUUUCUCCGUGCGAUCCGAUUUUUACAAUUGACACAUUUGAAGAAGACUUAAGGAAAAGAGUGAGGGAAUUAUGCGGACAGCAAUUGAACGUUAUACGCGAGGAACGUGUAUAGCUGGUAUAUCGAUGUUACCAUCAAUUGACAGAUUUUCUUCAACCUGUACACAGGAUUUGGUACACAGUCAAGUAAUUUUAACAACAAGAUGCCUUUUCGAAAAUUUGAUUUCUCCAAUAUUUCCCUAUGUAUUAGAAAACCACCCCUAUUUAUUAAAAAACCACCCCUAUUUAUUAGAAAACGAUUAUCGCCACCAAGGAUUAAUAAUUCACUUAUGCAAGAUUGAUUAUGAUAAUAUUGCGACGAUAUCAUACGACGCUGAUAGUGCUACGACGAGCAAAUCAAUUGUACAGAUAAAUGAAGAAAAGUCGCAUCUUAAGCAAAAAAAAUCAAAACCUGAGAACAAAAUUCUUGUGCAGGAACUGGAAGAAUAAUCUAAAAAGAAGAAACCUAAAAUAUAAAGUUUAAGUUAAAGGAACAGUUGUUAGGAAUUUUUAAGAAAAUAUUCCCACUAUUUGCCAUCUCAAAUAACAAUUAUUAUUAUUCGUUUAA